rnacentral:lncRNA from 1 species
ACCACAUCAACAUACUUUUCCUCCUGGGCCACAACAAGCCCAAUUUCCUUCAACAUACAUAGAUCACUACACGCUUGGGCCGAGUUCAUACUUUCCUCCCACAUCCUCUCACUACACAUUUGGAGUAAAUUCUUCAUUACUAGGACCAGGUCCUUCUUCUUCUCCAUAUGCUCGAGGUUACAGUUACUUCAACAACAAUUAUACACCACAUGCAAUGACUGCAAAUCUGCCUCAACCUCCUUCGGCACAGAAGCAUUCAAUCUGGUAUCCAGAUUAGGGAGCUACAAAUC